GCUGGCGGCAGGCUUAACACAUGCAAGUCGAGCGGGCGUAGCAAUACGUCAGCGGCAGACGGGUGAGUAACGCGUGGGAACGUACCUUUUGGUUCGGAACAACACAGGGAAACUUGUGCUAAUACCGGAUAAGCCCUUACGGGGAAAGAUUUAUCGCCGAAAGAUCGGCCCGCGUCUGAUUAGCUAGUUGGUGAGGUAAUGGCUCACCAAGGCGACGAUCAGUAGCUGGUCUGAGAGGAUGAUCAGCCACAUUGGGACUGAGACACGGCCCAAACUCCUACGGGAGGCAGCAGUGGGGAAUAUUGGACAAUGGGCGCAAGCCUGAUCCAGCCAUGCCGCGUGAGUGAUGAAGGCCCUAGGGUUGUAAAGCUCUUUUGUGCGGGAAGAUAAUGACGGUACCGCAAGAAUAAGCCCCGGCUAACUUCGUGCCAGCAGCCGCGGUAAUACGAAGGGGGCUAGCGUUGCUCGGAAUCACUGGGCGUAAAGGGUGCGUAGGCGGGUCUUUAAGUCAGGGGUGAAAUCCUGGAGCUCAACUCCAGAACUGCCUUUGAUACUGAGGAUCUUGAGUUCGGGAGAG
rnacentral:rRNA from 1 species